GCGGGGUAAAAUUACAUCAAGUCCUUGGCACCUGCCAACACCCAUAAUCUGGCUUCAUCCAAGAUCUUGUCCACAAUUAUCAUCGAAGGCGUAGAGACAUUUCGAAAGAUCCUAGUAUUCCUCUCCUUCCAAAGUUCCCAAGAGUUACAUCAGGUGCUUGAAGGGCGGCCCUUUACAAAGCAACAUCCUGUUAAAGGAUUCAAGUAAGUGGAAAUAAAGGAACUUCAUUCAUAAAUAGCAAACAUUUUUUUGGAUAUUAGUAAAAUACCUCCACUUCCCUGCGUGUGAAUGAUACCAAAUGUAUUGGCAUGUUCAGUUCUGCUGCUUUUUGCGAAAAAAGAGCAGAAGAAUCCAGCCUCAGUUCCAACGACAAGAAAACACCUGUGAAAAAAAUAUUCUUGCAGUCACAACUCAAGUCUUCUUCUUGCAAUUACGACUGAGAUCAUAAAUUAAGGAUUAUAAAUUUGGUUGGUGUACUGAAAUGUCGAUGUGUACUAACCCUGAUCCGCAAGUGACAUGUCCGCAGAUGCAGAUGCAUAUAGCAAUCCUUGCAUUGCUGAAAGGAUUCAGAAUUUAUUUUUUUAAGUUAAAGGAUUCACAACUUAUUAUGCACACAUUGUUACAGUGCCCGGCAGCCCUGUCAGAAUUUAGAAGCGAUGAGAAAGUAAGCAUAGAGGGAUACAGAAGCUUAUAGCACUGGAAUGGUCAGAAACUUGCCAACAUUGCAAAAUGAAGAAGUCGGUUGUAUCUCGCACCUGCUUCCAGGUGCGAGAAGAAGCAGGAGAUAUGGUGAAAAUCCCACUAUUUCACACUCCAGGCGCUUCAAAUCCCACAAUUCCGUU
rnacentral:lncRNA from 1 species